rnacentral:snRNA from 1 species
AUCGCUUCUCGGCCUUUUGGCUAAGAUCAAGUGUAACAUAUUUUCAUUUCAG